rnacentral:rRNA from 1 species
GACGAACGCUGGCGGCGUGCCUAACACAUGCAAGUCGAACGGAAAGACCCUGCUUUUGUGCGCUCCUCGAGUUGCGGCCGGGGGAGUAACACGUGAGUACCCUGCCCUUGCCUUUGGGAUAACUUCAGGACACUGGGUCUCAUACCGCAUAGGAUCUCCUGCUUCUUGGUGGGGCUUGGAUAGUUUCGGCGGUUGGUGAUGGACUCGCCGCUUAUCAGCUUGUUGGGUGGGUAGUGGCUUACCAAGGCCUUGACCCGUUGCCGGCCUGAGCGGGGGACCGGACACAUUGGACCUGAGAUGCGGCCCAGACUCCUAUGGGACGCAGCGGUGGAGAGUAUUGCACAGUGGGCGGAAGGAUGAUGUAGCACCGCCGCGUGCGGGAUGAGGGCAAUGGGGUUGGAAACCGCUUCCGUCUGUGCCGAAGCGUGAGUGACGGUAACGGGUAAAGAAGCACCGGCUAACUACGUG